AGAAGCAAGAGGUAAGAUGGUUUGGGGGAUGUCUCUGAGCCAACACUAUUCAUUUGGAGAAAGAUGAAAAACUACAUACAAGUCACCUCACCUCACAGCUUCUUCCCCCAACCUUCCUAUUCCUCCAGAACCAUCCUCCUCCAUUUCUUCUUCAGAAAACAUCAGGUCUUUCAGAGAUGACAGCCAGACUGGUCAAAACAAUAUACAGAAAGACAAGAAAUCUUGUUGAUGGCCAUGAUGCAUAGAGUACCAUGACACCUUGUUGAUGUUGAUAAAAGAGGCCAUGUUGAAAACCUUGGUCCAUCUUGCUGCUUAAGACAAUGUCGAAGUAAGUGUUAUGUGCUGCUACAGUAGUCCAGUUGGAAGUCUAUGAACUGAACUGCAAACUAAAGCUAUGUUGAAGUAACUGAUGACUAUUCACAACCACGAACUAACCAUGUUGAUGUCCAAAUGGAGACCUUGUAAUAGCCAUGAUCCCUGUUGACAGCGGAGACACUGUUGAAUUCUGUGGUCAGUACUGCCUCCUGAAACCAUAUUCAGGGAAGUGUUCUAUUUUGUUCCCAAGAACCAGUAUAAUGUAUAAAAUUCAAACUGCUCAAUGGCAAUAUAUUGAUACUGUGGAUGAAUAAGCAAUGGAAUCUUUACUGAUAUCAGUGAUCCAUGAUUCAGCCCAAUUUAUGAGAAGUGUUCAACCAGUUGUAACUAUUUUGAUGUCACACUGAAUCCUGACACUAGAGGUUUCUGUAUAUAGUCUUACCUGUUC